rnacentral:rRNA from 1 species
CCUACGGGAGGCAGCAGUGAGGAAUAUUGGUCAAUGGACGAGAGUCUGAACCAGCCAAGUAGCGUGAAGGAUGACUGCCCUAUGGGUUGUAAACUUCUUUUAUAUGGGAAUAAAAUGUUCCACGUGUGGGCUUUUGUAUGUACCCUAUGAAUAAGGACUGGCUAACUCCGUGCCAGCAGCCGCGGUAAUACGGAGUAUCCGAGCGUUAUCCGGAUUUAUUGGGUUUAAAGGGAGCGUAGGUGGAUUGUUAAGUCAGUUGUGAAAGUUUGCGGCUCAACCGUAAAAUUGCAGUUGAAACUGGCAGUCUUGAGUACAGUAGAGGUGGGCGGAAUGCGUGGUGUAGCGGUGAAAUGCUUAGAUAUCACGAAGAACUCCGAUUGCGAAGGCAGCUCACUGGACUGCAACUGACACUGAGGCUCGAAAGUGUGGGUAUCAAACAGGAUUAGAUACCCGAGUAGUC